GGCGCCGGCCACCGCCAGCAGCAGCAGCAGUAGCAGCGACGGCGGCGGCCCUGAGCGGCGGCCGCACCAGCCCAUCCUCCGAGGCGGCGCCCACCACUGCACACCAGUUUCGGACGAGUCGGCGCCCCGCCGCUCCGCCGCUCCUCCGGCGUCCGUCGGGGGGAGGAGCCACGGGGCCCCGCCCCCUCGGCCCGGCCCCGCCUCUUUCCCCGCCCCGUGGUCCGCCGAGGCCUCGGAGUCAGCGCUAGAGUGUUUGGCGGCAGGGGGCGGGGAGCGCAACCCCGGCCCUGGAGCCCCCCCACUCCAGCCCUUCAUGAGAGGGGCGUUUGCCCUGCAGAGGCCCCGACCGGUGUUCCGGUCGCUGUUGGGGACUCGAGGAGGUCAUUUGGCUUCUCACGAGCCUCGUAUCUAACGGAAAAGGAGUAAAUUGGAAUAGAUUGGAUCGAUUUACGCUGUACCAAGAAAGUUCUGGGGAUCCCUCCACGCAAUAAGACAUGAGUUAGAAGCAGAGACAGAGACGGAGAAAGAAUCCCAAGCAGGCUCCACACCCAGCACAGAGCCUGAUGCAGGGCUCAAUCUCACAAACCGUGACCUGAGCUGAAAUCGAGAGACGCUUAACCGACUGAGCCCCCCUGGCGCCCCCAACUGUUGUGAUUUUCUUAUUCAGCUGUGGUUCCACCGCACCUCAGAUUAGUUUCACCAGUCCAAGGGGGCCCUCUCUAGUAAGCUGACCAGAUGGAUGAGAAGAUGCCCUCCCACGGCUGGUGGAUCUCAGAGGAGACUCAGCCUCUUAGCCCAAGAAACCUCCACACGGGGAGAGGAAUUUCUGUGUCCUAGGAUUGGUCUACACAGUAGUCCCACCAGCCCCCAUCCGCAGUUUUCCUCUCCAUGGUUUCAGUUACCUGCAAUCAAGAGGAACCAGAAACAGACAAUCCUCCUUCUGACUGAUGGUCAGAAGGUCAGUGGUAGCCUAACGCUACAUCACAAGGCCCAGGUCAUUCCCCUCCCUUCAGCUCAUCACGUAGGCGUUUUAUCACCUCAUAUCAUCACAGGAAGAAGGGUGAGUAGUACAGCGCAGUAAGAGAUUUGAAGAGAGAGAGACAUAACUUUUAUUAUAGUAUAGUCUUAUAAUUGUUCUGUUUAAUAUUAUUGUUGUUCAUCUCUUACUGUGCCUGAUUUCUAAAUUAAACUUUAUCAUAGGUGUGUAUGCAUAGGAAAAACAUAGCCUAUACAGAGUACAGUGGUUUUGGCAUCCACUGAGGAUCUUGGAACAAAUCCCCUGCAGAAAUGAGGGCCGGAUUACUGUAUGUAGUAUUGGGAGUUUCCGGACCUUUUCUCAAAGUGGUUGUGCCAUUUUAUAUUCCCACCAACAACGUAUGAGAGUCCAGCUUGCACCACAUCCUUGCCAAUAUUUGGUGGUAUCCGUAUUUUUUUGAUGGUAGCUAUUCUGGUAGGUGGGUAGUGGCAUCCCAUUUUGUUUUAGUUUGCAUUUCUCUGCUAACUAAUGGUUGGACAUCUUUUCGUGGUUCUUCUUAAAUCUUUUUGUGUGUAUGAACUGUUGAAGUGUUGUGGACCUUUUUAAAGAUUGA